rnacentral:rRNA from 1 species
UACAGGGGGGGCAAGCGUUGUUCGGAAUUACUGGGCGUAAAGGGUUCGUAGGUGGCCACUUAAGUCAUACGUGAAAUCCCUCAGCUUAACUGGGGAACUGCGUGUGAUACUGGAUGGCUUGGAUUUGGGAGAGGGAUGCGGAAUUCCAGGUGUAGCGGUGAAAUGCGUAGAUAUCUGGAGGAACACCGGUGGCGAAGGCGGCAUCCUGGACCAAUAUUGACGCUGAGGAGCGAAAGCCAGGGGAGCAAACGGG